UGUUCGGAGUCCCGGAAAUACUUAUAUCCGACAACGGUGUCCAAUUUAAAUCAAAGGAAUUUGAGAAAUUCUUAAGCAACUACCAUGUCACGCAUUGGAAAAAUGCUAAUUACCAUCCGGCAAAUAACCCAACGGAAAGGGUUAACCGAGUGAUUGGAGCAGCGAUUAGGACAUACGUGAAAGAUGACCAUAAGGAAUGGGAUCGGGAUAUCCAAAAGGUGGCCAUGGCUAUAAGAACCUCAGUCCACGAAUCAACUUCUUUCACGCCAUAUUUUGUAAAUUAUGGGAGGAAUUUUAUUAGCUCAGGUGCAGAAUAUAAACGCAUCAGGGAAACUAACGAAGAUGCUGGCUAUGAUCCAUUAGAACUCAAUGAAAACCUGAAAUCAAUCUUUGAGGCGGUUAAAAUCAAUUUGAAGAAGGCCUAUGACCGUUAUGCAAAGCACUAUAAUCUACGGUCUAGCAAAACCAUCCCAAGCUACGAAAUAGGGGAAAUAGUGCUUAAAAAGAACUUCUUUCUGUCGAGCAAGAGCAAACAGUUUUCCGCGAAAUUAGCGAAUCCAUUUUCAUUGGCAAAGGUUGUAGGCAAAAUAGGGUCAGCUUGUUAUGACCUAGAAGAUGUGCAAGGCAACCGUUUAGGAGUUUUUCAUGCCUCACAUCUCCAGAAAAAAUAAUCAACUUCCUUUUAAAGCUAUGUCUGAGGCCAAGUGCACAGUUACUAUGAGAUUUCGUUCCAAUAAAACACAAACUUACGGUUUGGUUACUCCGAGCAGAGCGGGAGGGGCUGGCUUCAAAAACGAUUCCUUACUACAAGCAGUUCCCUCGUCGCCUCUCGAUGAUCCAUUCUCAGGGCUGUUUGAAACCUAAAAGAAAAACAAGCGUUAGUCCUGAGAAUGUAGAUACAGCUAUGUAUAGGAUGGAGUACAAGUAUAGUUUGUCGCCCUAGAAUCAUCAGCCAGCUUACCCACCCAAGCCCGGAGUUCACCGAGGUGAACUGUGAAGGGAGAGUACUAUGGAAGGAAGUGCGAGUCUGCAGGGCAAGAUGAUGACCAGGCUGAGAUUCGAACUCAAAAUAUACUUGUACACACCAUAACACAACGUUGAAGAACACCAAAACACUACGAACAGGGUCAAUGUUCACAAUAUUAAGCUAUGUAGGUACACAAAGAAAAGAAAACACUGUGAGUUUGCCGCAGGAUAAUUCAAGUAAACACUGUACAUAUCGGUUGUAAAUAGCCUAGAAGUAGCACUUUAUACUCGUUAACUUUAGACCGUUCAAUAGCCGCAUCAGAAAACACAAUAUUUACAAUAGUUCAAUGAGUUUUGGGUCCACUAAACACAGCAUUGAAACAGUUUUGGUAUCAGUUUUGGCACACUUACAACAUCACAGUUGGCAGCAUUCAGGAUUUCCGUAGCCGUUUAUAUCACACAAGCAAUAGUUUCUGUUUUUUCUUCAAAUUUUGGCACUUUUUAAUAGUAGAUUCACUUUUGUUCGCUUUCACUUUCAUUUCACCACUUUCAGAGAAAAUCAAACCAAAACAAAUCCGAUAAUUCAGAGAAACGUCAAACGCAAUUUAUCGUUUGUAGUCGUCGGCCAGUUACAGUAGAGGCUGUCGAAGUAGGGAUACCAUGAAAGUUAAGGUCAUUUAGAGCGCGAUUGCGUUCGAAUAAAAUGUUAUGAUUUUAAAUGAGAAUUUCAAUAGAAUUUUGUUCGGAUAAAUCUGAAAGUACAUAAAAUGUUUCAGUUUGGAUUAGAGGAUUUUGUCGAGAAUGUUCUUGACGGCUCCCUGGUGGAGAUAUGUUGGUCGUGGAAGCGGCCAGAUUUAUGUUCUAGAAUACUAGGACGGGUCUUAUGAGACUUUGGGUUAUAGAGGUGUAAUUUUGGCAACCGUAGUGGUAUCCCGGAAUUAGAUUUUGUAGUUCAUUUUUUUCUUAUUGGUUCCUACAGUUAAAAUUUAAAAAAAUAUAUAAGUAAUUAGAUGAUACGUAGAAUUAGAUGAGUUCAUUUGUUUUUCUUCUUUAUAUAAUUUAAGUACUAUUUCGGUCAGUUGAGUUAAACCAAAUCAACUAACAUUAAUAGAAGCAUUAAAGAAAAACUGUUUUAUUUUUUAACAUAAAAAAAAUAAAUUCAGAAAUCUUCAUUUAUUUUUUUUAACCGUUGGUAGGGGGUAAUGUAACAAGGUUACAGUAAUUCAUAAAAAACUUAAAUUUAAAUUUGACUUUGCAAUCCCAUCACCCGAAAAACAAAAACAAAUACAAAUAACAAAAAUUGAAAUAAAAGCUAAAAAAAUAUUUGACCUUAAAAAGUAUUUGAAAUAGAGCCUUUACUGUCAGAAGCGAAGUUGGCGUUCCGUGUCUCUGACUUAACGAACGUACCUAGAGAAUCCGAUAAAUGAGUUCGGUCUUUAAAAAUUAGCUCACUUUCAAAUUAGGCCCCGAAAAUAGCCGAAUGAAAAGAAUCGGGUCGCGCGUAGGUUUGUUAUAACCAAAAUCUGGGUUGAAGAUUCUCUUUCAUUCCGACUGUCGACAGUUACAGAAGUCUAGUGGCAAACCGUGAUAGAAGAAAAAUUAUAGAGUGUGAGAAGGGAGUCAAAAGUUUUAAAAGUAGAAGUAAUAGAGAGUGAAUUAAGAAAAUAACUCUGUAAUUAAUUAUGGUACUUUGUAUAAGAAUUGCAGGUUUCCUUUUAUACCAAAAGUAUAUUAAAAAAGUGCUAUUACAAAACCACGUGUGCCUAGUAAGGCAGAGGCCGUUAACGCUGCAACCCUCGUGUGCAAGCGAGAAUCUGUAAUAGAAACGAAUUUUUCGAACCAACCGAUCAAAAUCAUACAGGUAAAUGAAAAAAAGUGAUUGUGUUUCUGACAAAUUAAGUAAUUUGAAAAUCGUUUGAAGAUCCCUUCAAACGAGGGUGCACCCCUAGGGCCCGGACGGCGUGACAUCACAGAACUGAUCGUUUGCGUCAUUCUGUUGGACCGAUAAGGCUGUGACGAAGCAUACAUCGUGCAGCAUAAAUAGUGACGUCACUCGCUGGUGUGUCAGUUCAACUCACCACGCGGUCUGUCCAAGCCACCAACCGCAAGCGUUUCCACGGGCAACCGAUAGAGGGCGACUCGUCACCAUCCAACCCGAUCGGUCGCAUGCAAGCCCGGCGGUUUAUUGCAUGGAAGAUUGAACGCCUCGACACCACUCGCGUAUACGCCACGUGACCGGUCAAAGGCGUAAGUUUGACCACGUUGAUGACCAGUAAGUGCACUUACCAUCCUCCGCUGGACUCCGUGGGACCACGCCAUCGUUCCUGGUAGCUGUAAACCAAGUAAGGUCGACCUAAUUUUGUAAAUACCAACCCCCCUAUACCAAUGUACAUAUUAUAAGCAAGCGCUAAGACAAAGAUCGUAAAUUGCCAUUUUAGUUCCACAAGUUAUUGGGGAAAUAAACGAAGAGCUCUGCAAACGCAUUUUUUAAGCAAUUCUUAGUUGUUGCAGUUUUAGUGUCUGAGAAGUUUCAACACAGUUCGUUUUUUUUUUCUCGUUGGAUUAGAAUAGGCUCUGGAAAGGGA